CGGGGAGGCUUUUUGGGGCUUGUCACCUCUUUUCUCAGGAAGAAGCAAGUGACGGUACUUGAGGAAUCAGCAUCGGCUAACUCCGUGCCAGCAGCCGCGGUAAUACGGAGGAUGCAAGCGUUAUCCGGAAUUAUUGGGCGUAAAGCGUCCGCAGGUGGCCCGUCAAGUCUGCUGUCAAAGACUAGAGCUCAACUCUGGAAAGGCAGUGGAAACUGGUGGGCUAGAGUACGGUAGGGGUUGAGGGAAUUCCCAGUGUAGCGGUGAAAUGCGUAGAUAUUGGGAAGAACACCAGUGGCGAAGGCGCUCAACUGGGCCGUAACUGACACUCAGGGACGAAAGCUAGGGUAGCGAAUGGGAUUAGAUACCCCAGUAGUCAAAUGGCGCGUUCUGGGGUUUUUGGGGGGUGCUGGCUGCCGAAGGAUCUGUGCCGGGUGUGAAUUCCCAGGUGUCUGAACUUCAACUGACACCGUCAAUGGUUCUGUGCCUUGGUAGGGUAGGGGUUGAAAAACUAACUGAAGAGAUGGAAGCUCUUCUAUUAUUGGGAAGAACACCCGCCGAAGGGCGGCUCUGUGGGGCACUCACGGUACUGUGUGAAAAAAAGGUCGGCAAACAAGGGUAUAUAAUCCCCCUACUCAACCACAAUG
rnacentral:rRNA from 1 species